rnacentral:rRNA from 1 species
UGCAAACGUUAUUCAGAAUCACUGGGCAUAAAGGGCGCGUAGGCGGCUCCAAAAGUCAGGGGUGAAAUCCGGCAGCUUAACUGUCGCAGUGCCUUUGAUACUGUGGAGCUAGAGGGAGGUAGGGGUCUGUGGAACUUCCGGUGGAGCGGUGAAAUGCGUUGAUAUCGGAAGGAACGCCGGUGGCGAAAGCGACGGACUGGAUCUCUUCUGACGCUGAGGCGCGAAAGCCAGGGGAGCAAACGGG